rnacentral:lncRNA from 1 species
GGUUACAAGACGCAGGCCUCCUUAUUGUCCCCAGAAUUUCUAAGCAAACAGCUGAAGGCAGAGCUUUCUCCUAAAGAGCUCAAUAUUUAUGGAAUGAUCUGCCUAUCCAUGUGAGAGAGGCAGACUCAGUCUCGACCUUUAAGUCCGUGAACUUGGGCGCUGGCAUCAAUAUUUUCAACUAGCUCGGCUCGGUAUUAUAGCACCACCAAAUUCCAUUUAUUAAAAGGCUGAUUCAAUUCCUAUCGGGAGGGGUGGCCGGGAAACAGCCGAUGAAUCUUCCAAAGUCUGCAAAAAGCUCCAGUACUGUUUUGUAAAGUAAAAAUCAGGAUACACCGUAUUUGUUUGAGCUCCUCUGAAAAAACCUGUUACAGUCUAGCCUUGCAUAGUAUGCGACUGUCGUUGCGUAGUCUGCCACUGUCGUUGAGGAAGAAUAUGAACACCAUGAUCAUGGUCAAGUAGAGGAUGGUAGUGGUGGUGAUCUGUAGCUUGGAGAAGAAGUAGUGCACACCGAAGACUCACAAGACAUCUCACCCAUUGAGCAUGAUUGGGAUGGUCGGAAUUGAUGUGCACGACAGUGGGUUCGAGUUCCCACCAAUAUCCAACAACUUCGCAAAACCAUCGAAGAGGAGCAGGACAACAUUCCACAGGCCUCAAUCAACAACGUGAUCAACUCUAUGCUAAGGAGAUGUGUCCCUCUGUAUGAGGCAAAUGGUGGUCACACCAGAUACUGACUGGUUUAAUGAUCUACACCCCUAUCUUUAUUUAAAAAGCAUCACGUUGUUGUUGUAGUAGAAGAGUACAGAGAUGGGACUGAGCUUGGUGGGUGCGCAGCACGCUUUGGGAACCUCAUCUGGCUUCAAAAGGUGAACCUGCCAUGGAAAAAGGAACCUGAAUUUGCUGUUCAACAACAACAACCUUGACUGAUUUUUGAGACCUGAGAUUGAAACAUCGACUGGAAAAUGCCCGGGUGCUUUUCAACAUUGACGGAGAGAGUGCGAGGACGUCGCGGCCUACUGCGUCGACAGGUUGUUCAAAUUCAUUUGUGGCUUGUUUUUCUUGUCUUUUUCCGUUUUGCAGGGUUCGCGAUCGUCUGGAGGUGGACAGCGACAGCGACUUCGAAGAUGAAUCAACUGUACUGGAUGAGGUCCAAUUGGAUGUGCCACUGCUGCCAGUUAUCCUUCAUGUCCAGGAUGCUGCUAUCAUCCUUGAGGAUGUGCCGACUUUCCUUGAGGAGGCCACUGGUAAUUGGCAGCUGAUACUGAUUAGGUUCAGCCCCCUGUACUGUGGGCCUGUUGUGAUCAGGAACAAUGCCGGUCCGGUGGCUAAAGCCUGGAGGACUUUCCAGUUCAUCAGCCCCAUUAUCACCUACAUGCGUGGGGGAUCCCAGCAGGUGGUGGUGAGGAUGCACCAUGUGAGUAGGGUUCGAGGCCUGGAGACUCAACUGGUGUGGGCCAUCUCCAAGGAGACAGCCAGGCUUAGUCCAGAGGGCAUCCCCUACUGUGCCACCAAGGUGCAGUCCGUCACUUGGAUCCAGUAUGUGGCUGGCAGGGUGACCCAGUAUGCAUCUCACCUCGGCCAGGAGACGUCUGUGGACGUGACGCUUGGCUGCUACCAGCAGACUGAUGUCUCGGUGGUGUACGCUACUCUCCACAUGGGGCUGGAUGGGCUGCUCUCCUCCUCGGCGUGGUCGGAGGCUGCCUCCGUCUCUACGCCCACCAAUCAGCAGUUCACUGAGCCAGAGCCUGAGGGCCACAACUGCUAUGAGGGCUGGGAGGAGGACCUGCUGCCUGAGGAGAGGGAGGUUCCUCUGCUAAACCUCUACCUUACCACCAAGAGAGUGGAGGACAUCGCCCUGAGGCUUGUCUCCCUGCGCCAGGCCUUCACUGACGAGGCCGAAUUCAUCCGUGCCUAUAACGACUUUGUGGACUACCUGAGUGACCCCUCCAAGCAGAUUGACAUUGAGAGGGAGCUGGCUGAGGCAAAGAUCCAUCAUGUUAACCUGAUAGAUGUCCUCUUUGAACUGGUGAUGUUUGGGAUGAUGACAGCUCAGAAGUCCAUGAUGGUGCACCCUGGUGGGUUCAUGGAGCGUCUGUACGCUCUCCUGUACUCCUUCCUGCCCGCUGCUGCCAGCAUUGAGCCAAAGGCGAGAGAUACCUGCUGCUGCUCAAUGUAAGAGUCAAGAGUUUACAUCCUUAUUCCUAGUUUCCUUUUUCCUGAUUAACAUGGUUUCAAUGACGUUUUACAGGGAGUAACUCUCAUUGUCUCCUUCCUCUUGGUAAGCUAGUAACUCAGAGCCAUUAUCUAUGUGUUGUGUGGUGUUCUCUUCAGGGCGGGCUGAUGGCUCUGCUAGAUGACAUGUUUGGGCAGCAGCUGGCCUGGUACUUUAACCCAGAGUCUCUGGUCACUGAGCUCUCCAGCCUCCUGGAGUACCACCUGGAGAACCUCAUGGCCAGCAUGUAGUCCUACUGCAGAGAUCUGAAAGGCCUCUCUCUCUCUCUCUCUCUCUCUCUCUCUCUCUCUCUCUCUCUCUCUCUCUCUCUGUGUCUGUCUGUCUGUCUGUCUGUCUGUCUGUCUGUCUGUCUGUCUGUCUGUCUGUCCGUCUCUCUCUCUCUCUCUCUCUCUGUCUGUCCAUCUCUCCCUCUCUCUCUCUCUCUCUCUCUCUGUCUGUCCAUCUCUCUCUCUCUCUCUCUCUCGGUCCAUCUCUCUCUCUCUCUGUCCAUCUCUCUCUCUCUCUCUCUCUCUCUCUCUCUCUCUCUCUCUCUCUCUCUCUCUCAGGAUUUGAGGACAUGAAGUGCUUCGCUGAGACGUGAUUAGUUAACACCCAUUAAAUUAAUGUAUUCUCUUGUUUUCUCUCCCCACAGGAUUCUUAUGACACUUUGCCACCUAACAGGGAUCUAGACACUAAUGCACUACAUUACUUUGCACUGAAUUUUACAUUUUGAAAUAAAAUAACUAGU